rnacentral:rRNA from 1 species
UACGGAGGUCGCAAGCGUUGUUCGGAAUUACUGGGCGUAAAGCGCGUGUAGGCGGUCUGGUAAGUCGGUUGUGAAAUCCCCGGGCUCAACCCGGGAACUGCAUCCGAAACUUCCAGGCUAGAGUUUCGGAGAGGAAGGCAGAAUUCCCAAUGUAGGGGUGAAAUCCGUAGAUAUUGGGAGGAAUACAAGUGGCGAAGGCGGCCUUCUGGACGACGACUGACGCUGAGACGCGAAAGCGUGGGGAGCAAACAGG